CGGACGGGUGAGUAACGCGUGAGAAUCUGCCCUCAGGAGGGGGAUAACGGCUGGAAACGGCCGCUAAUACCCCAUAUGCCGAGAGGUGAAAUGAAUUUCGCCUGAGGAUGAGCUCGCGUCUGAUUAGCUAGUUGGUGAGGUAAGGGCUCACCAAGGCUUCGAUCAGUAGCUGGUCUGAGAGGAUGAUCAGCCACACUGGGACUGAGACACGGCCCAGACUCCUACGGGAGGCAGCAGUGGGGAAUUUUCCGCAAUGGGCGAAAGCCUGACGGAGCAACGCCGCGUGAGGGAUGAAGGCCUCUGGGCUGUAAACCUCUUUUAUCAAGGAAGAAGAUCUGACGGUACCUGAUGAAUAAGCCACGGCUAAUUCCGUGCCAGCAGCCGCGGUAAUACGGGAGUGGCAAGCGUUAUCCGGAAUUAUUGGGCGUAAAGCGUCCGCAGGCGGUUUUGAAAGUCUGUUGUUAAAGCGUGGAGCUUAACUCCAUUUGAGCAAUGGAAACUACAAGACUAGAGUGUGGUAGGGGCAGAGGGAAUUCCCGGUGUAGUGGUGAAAUGCGUAGAUAUCGGGAAGAACACCAGUGGCGAAGGCGCUCUGCUGGGCCAUAACUGACGCUCAUGGACGAAAGCCAGGGGAGCGAAAGGGAUUAGAUACCCCUGUAGUC
rnacentral:rRNA from 1 species